rnacentral:lncRNA from 1 species
GAAACAUAUUCUUGACAACGUAGUUGGGAAGAUUCCAGUGAAGGUAUACAUAGGGACCCUGGAAUGGGGACUGGCCUAGAGCAAUAACAGCAAGCUCUAAAAGUCGCUUCCUCAACGAGUUCCUAGCUAUCCUGGGGGGGCAGGGGAAGGAACAAAGUUUCCAGUUGCAGUCUGGCUGGAAGCCCAGCUGGGCUGGCCCCGCCCCCUUGGUUCCUCCUUCUAGGGAAGGGCUGGGGAAGAGAGGGUGGUGCAAGGUGGAGGCAUCCGCCGGGGCCUGGGCCUGCCCUCUGGACAGGUCCAAACUCAUGGAGCCCCCCAGGAGGAGCAGCAGGGAAGAGGAGGAGGAGGAGGAGACUGAGGAAGAGGAAGAGGAAGAUGCUCAUCAGUUCUGCUGUCCAGCCUCCGAGUGCAGCAGUCCCUCCUCUCGGUAACUGAGAGGACAAGGGUCAUUUUCUAUGCAGAAGCAGAAGCCUUAACCAGCCCCCUCCCCCAGCUCCUGCGGAUCCCCCAUGGGACCCUGUCCCCUGCUUCAGGAACCAGAUGGGCAAGCAUCGUGCCCCUUCCUCCCCCACCUCUUUCUUGGAAUUCACAUUCCCGCUGCUGUCUCCUCUGGACUCCAGCCCCUGAAUUAUAAAGAGCUGAAGUCCUAGGUCUGGCUGAAAUGUGGGAACAGCAGAGCCUGGAGCUUCAGCAGAGCCUGGACCCUCCCACACCCACACUCCCACUUCCCAGGCACCCUGGAGCUUGCCACUCCUGCAGAGGUCUCCAAAUGACAUCCGAAGGACCUACCUCUGUCCUCUGAGAGCACAAACAGAGAUACAGGGUGCCUAGGGCUCAGAGGACCACAUGGGGGCAGGACCCAGCCCACCUAGUUUCCUGUUAUUCCCUGGCUCUGGCUAUUGCUGCCAUCUCCUCCACUGCUUGAAGGCCUCGACCCAUGCCCCCUGCCACUCCCAUAGUGCUCUGUAAAUAUAAUCAGGAGGAGAAGGCCUUUCAGAGUGCGUGUUGCUGUGUACAAAGGAAUUUCCAUCAAUAAAAGCUGAUCUCUUCUCUCUGUCUGAUGUAUGUUCCACCUCACCCCACUUCCCUCUCCCCUUCUCUACUGGGGUCUUAACUUUUUUCCUAUCCAGGGCUGGGAACAGGGGCUAGGGAAGAGAUUGGGG